CUACGGGUGGCUCCAGUGGGGAAUAUUGCACAAUGGAGGAAACUCUGAUGCAGCAACGCCGCGUGGAGGAUGACACUUUUCGGAGCGUAAACUCCUUUUAUAUAGGAAGAAGAUGACGGUACUAUAUGAAUAAGCGCCGGCUAACUCCGUGCCAGCAGCCGCGGUAAUACGGAGGGCGCAAGCGUUACUCGGAAUCACUGGGCGUAAAGAGCGUGUAGGCGGAUUAAAAAGUCAGAAGUGAAAUCCUAUAGCUUAACUAUAGAACUGCUUCUGAAACUCUUAAUCUAGAAUAUGGGAGAGGUAGAUGGAAUUUCUGGUGUAGGGGUAAAAUCCGUAGAGAUCAGAAGGAAUACCGAUUGCGAAGGCGAUCUACUAGAACAGUAUUGCCGCUGAGACGCGAAAGCGUGGGGAGCAAACAGGAUUAGAUACCCCCGUAGUC
rnacentral:rRNA from 1 species